UACGGGGGGAGCAAGCGUUGUUCGGAUUUACUGGGCGUAAAGGGCGCGUAGGCGGCCACCGCAAGUCAACUGUGAAAUCUCCGGGCUUAACCCGGAAAGGUCAGCCGAUACUGCGGGGCUAGAGUGCAGAAGGGGCAACUGGAAUUCUCGGUGUAGCGGUGAAAUGCGUAGAUAUCGAGAGGAACACCUGCGGCGAAGGCGGGUUGCUGGGCUGACACUGACGCUGAGGCGCGAAAGCUAGGGGAGCGAACGGG
rnacentral:rRNA from 1 species